rnacentral:rRNA from 1 species
ACGCUCGACACCUACGGAGGCAGCAGUGGGGAAUAUUGGGCAAUGGGCGCAAGCCUGACCCAGCAACGCCGCGUGAAGGAAGAAGGCCCUCGGGUUGUAAACUUCUUUUGUCAGGGACGAAGCAAGUGACGGUACCUGACGAAUAAGCCACGGCUAACUACGUGCUAGCAGCCGCGGUAAUCUGAGCGGGCUGGCAAGGC